rnacentral:rRNA from 1 species
CAGAGGUGCCAAGCGUUAGGCGGAAUCACUGGGCUUAAAGCGUGUGUAGGCGGAUCGUUAAGUACCUUGUGAAAUCCCACGGCUCAACCGUGGAACUGCUCGGUAUACUGGCGGUCUUGAGCCACCUAGGGGCAACUGGAACAAGCGGUGGAGCGGUGAAAUGCGUAGAUAUCGCUUGGAACGCCAACGGUGAAAACAGGUUGCUGGGGGUGUGCUGACGCUGAGACACGAAAGCCAGGGGGAGCGAACGGGAUUAGAUACCCCGGUAGUCCUGGCCCUAAACGAUGUCGACUAGAUCGUAGUGGCCUCUGACGGUAUUACGGUCGAAGCAAAAGUGCUAAGUCGACCGCCUGGGAAGUACGGUCGCAAGGCUA